AACCGCCCUGGACAAAGCAGACACAGGGUGUGUCUUGUGUGGCAGGGUUUUACACCGGCUCAUUUCUUCUCGGAGCACUCCGCACCACCCGGUGCCCCUCUACUUGGGGAGGUUGGACAUACGCACUGACAUUUCUGUCCAUCAUUAGAAAGAGAGAGACAUGACUAUUUAAUCAAACAAAAUCACUGGCUUUAAUAUCCUGCUGAGCACCGGUCUGAUGGCUGGCUGACAGCAUUCCAUCAAGAUAAGAGGCGGAUGGAAGAACAAGAAGAGAAGAAAAAUGAGCAACAUCUAGAAUUGAGUUCUGAAGAAAGAAACGAAACUGAUGGAGGCCAACUCAUCUUUAAUCCUCUACCAAAGUACUUAAGCAGAAGUGGGGUCCAAACCAUCACUGGCUGUGUGUGAAAACGCGGCAGACGGUCAGGUGCUAGGCAACAUGACGCCAGCCGCCCUCACCUAAGACAGGUGUGGGCGGUGCUCCUGUGACCAUGCCCUAUCAUGGUUGUUGUCAUAGCAACCUCUAACACCAAUUUGUCACUAGUGCCACAAGCUGAGUUAAGUGGCCAGAAUGACUGUGAGUUGAGUUGACUUUCAUAAAGGCCAGGUUAGCACACCUCUGGUGACUUGGGGAGGGUGGGGAGGGUUUUGAGCAG